AGUCGACGAUGAACCCGCUUGCGGGGGAUUAGUGGCGAACGGGUGAGUAACACGUGAGUAACCUGCCCUUAACUCUGGGAUAAGCCUUGGAAACGGGGUCUAAUACUGGAUAUUGACUUUACCUCGCAUGGGGUUUUGUUGAAAGAUUUAUUGGUUUUGGAUGGACUCGCGGCCUAUCAGCUUGUUGGUGAGGUAAUGGCUCACCAAGGCGACGACGGGUAGCCGGCCUGAGAGGGUGACCGGCCACACUGGGACUGAGACACGGCCCAGACUCCUACGGGAGGCAGCAGUGGGGAAUAUUGCACAAUGGGCGAAAGCCUGAUGCAGCGACGCCGCGUGAGGGAUGACGGCCUUCGGGUUGUAAACCUCUUUCAGUAGGGAACAAGGCCAGCAUUUUUGUUGGUUGAGGGUACUUGCAGAAGAAGCGCCGGCUAACUACGUGCCAGCAGCCGCGGUAAUACGUAGGGCGCAAGCGUUAUCCGGAAUUAUUGGGCGUAAAGAGCUCGUAGGCGGUUUGUCGCGUCUGCCGUGAAAGUCCGGGGCUCAACUCCGGAUCUGCGGUGGGUACGGGCAGACUAGAGUGAUGUAGGGGAGACUGGAAUUCCUGGUGUAGCGGUGAAAUGCGCAGAUAUCAGGAGGAACACCGAUGGCGAAGGCAGGUCUCUGGGCAUUAACUGACGCUGAGGAGCGAAAGCAUGGGGAGCGAACAGGAUUAGAUACCCUGGUAGUCCAUGCCGUAAACGUUGGGCACUAGGU
rnacentral:rRNA from 1 species